UGUCUCAUGGUGUAACGGUAGCACUACAGAUUUUGGUUCUGCCAGUCCAGGUUCGAAUCCUGGUGAGACAA
rnacentral:tRNA from 1 species